rnacentral:rRNA from 1 species
UGGGGAAUAUUGGGCAAUGGGCGAAAGCCUGACCCAGCAACGCCGCGUGAAGGAAGAAGGCUUUCGGGUUGUAAACUUCUUUUAUGUGGGAAGAACUUUGACGGUACCACAUGAAUAAGCCACGGCUAACUACGUGCCAGCAGCCGCGGUAAUACGUAGGUGGCGAGCGUUGUCCGGAUUUACUGGGUGUAAAGGGCGCGUAGGCGGGAUUGUAAGUCUGAUGUGAAAUCUCUCGGCUCAACCGGGAAACUGCAUUGGAAACUACAAUUCUUGAGUGACGGAGAGGCAAGCGGAAUUCCCAGUGUAGCGGUGGAAUGCGUAGAUAUUGGGAGGAACACCAGUGGCGAAGGCGGCUUGCUGGACGUUAACUGACGCUGAGGCGCGAAAGCGUGGGGAGCAAACA